GCGGGGGGAGCGGCGGAGCGCGGCAACAGCUGGAGUGCGGCCGCCCCCUGAGCGGGCGAGGGGUCGGUGCCGCAGCACCGCGCCGGUGAUCCCGGCCCCUGCUCCUUUGCUCCUGCCCCGGCAACCUCCGCCCCGCCGGCACUCCCGAGGGGGCAGCGUGGAGAGGGCGAGGGCGAGGGCUGACUAACUCCGUGGCCCCGCUCCAGUGCCGGCCCGGACCAAGCGCCGGGAGCAGCCGUUGGCGUCAUGGCGAGAGAGAGGGAGGGAUGAUGUGCAAGUCCUGUUUCCCACAGAGCCAUAAAGAGAGGGCACUAUCGAUGCCCCCGGUUGAAAGCCAUUCAUUAGCGGGGAAAAGAAGUCCCGUAUUAAAUGAACAAACCUGUCUGGGCGCUGAGAGCAGGCCAGUCUGUCUCCUGGCUCCAUUUAAUCAGCGGCAAAGCUGGCUCUACCUGAUUGCACGGGAAGAGAAGGGAAUUCAGAUUUCAGACUUGUAUGAGUACACAUUAAACAGCAAGAAAUAGGACCUGUGUCAGUGUUCAGUGCCAAACUUUGGAUCUUGUAAAGUCGGGAAUUGAAAUACUCCUUCCCUAAAGGUCUGGCGAUAGCAGAGCACAAAGUUCAAUGGAGGUCUACAGAUUACAGUAGUUCAAAAACUAAACAACCAAAUUACCUUUGGUGCAGUAGCAGCUCCCCAGAGGAGGCUUGGACAUCCCUACGAAGAACAGUGCAGGCACAUGACAGUCCACCAUGUCCAAGAAGCUCAACAAAAUGCCCUUUUUCAAGCCUGCAGACCAAAAAAAAAAAAAAAAAAAAGGUGAGAUACUGAAAUACAGAAAUACAGAACAGCAAAUGAAAACUUGGGAAGGAGAUACAAUGGCAGUGGAAGUCAGCUUGCAGGAAAGUCUGAGGCAUCUGGGUUUUUCCACACAGUUGUACAAGAGGCAACACAAGCAUCAGCCUGAACAGAAACUAAAAGAAUGCUGAUUAGAGAGCUCAUAUCUUAAGGAGGACAUUUACUCAGACUGGCCAACCUGUUAUUGCCUCUCAGAUGCUGGAUGUGACAAACAAACAGUUUUGGAGUAUACAUGUCAUACAGGUCUGUUUUAACACUCUGUACAUGCUCACAGAUAAAAAGGAAUAUACAAA